rnacentral:rRNA from 1 species
UACAGGGGGGGCAAGCGUUGUUCGGAAUUACUGGGCGUAAAGGGCUCGUAGGUGGCCCACUAAGUCAGACGUGAAAUCCCUCAGCUUAACUGGGGAACUGCGUCUGAUACUGGAUGGCUUGAGUUUGGGAGAGGGAUGCGGAAUUCCAGGUGUAGCGGUGAAAUGCGUAGAUAUCUGGAGGAACACCGGUGGCGAAGGCGGCAUCCUGGACCAACACUGGCACUGAGGAGCGAAAGCCAGGGGAGCAAACGGG